GUGGGGAAUAUUGGACAAUGGGCGAAAGCCUGAUCCAGCCAUGCCGCGUGUGUGAAGAAGGUCUUCGGAUUGUAAAGCACUUUAAGUUGGGAGGAAGGGCAGUAAGUUAAUACCUUGCUGUUUUGACGUUACCGACAGAAUAAGCACCGGCUAACUUCGUGCCAGCAGCCGCGGUAAUACGAAGGGUGCAAGCGUUCAUCGGAAUUACUGGGCGUAACGCGCGCGUAGGUGGUUUUGUAAGUUGGAGGUGAAAUCCCCGGGAUCAACCUGGGAACUGCCUCCAAAACUGCAUGACUAGAGUACGGUAGAGGGUAGUGGAAUUUCCUGAGUAGCGGUGAAAUGCGUAGAGAUAGGAAGGAACACCAGUGGCGAAGGCAGCCAUCUGGCCUAAUACUGACGCUGAGGUGCGAAAGCGUGGGGAGCAAACAGGAUUAGAUACCCGAGUAGUCC
rnacentral:rRNA from 1 species